CCUACGGGGGGCAGCAGUGGGGAAUAUUGCACAAUGGGGGAAACCCUGAUGCAGCGACGCCGCGUGAGUGAAGAAGUAUUUCGGUAUGUAAAGCUCUAUCAGCAGGGAAGAAAAUGACGGUACCUGUUUAAGAAGCCCCGGCUAACUACGUGCCAGCAGCCGCGGUAAUACGUAGGGGGCAAGCGUUAUCCGGAUUUACUGGGUGUAAAGGGAGCGUAGACGGCAGCGCAAGUCUGAAGUGAAAUGCCGGGGCUUAACCCCGGAACUGCUUUGGAAACUGUGCAGCUAGAGUGCAGGAGAGGUAAGUGGAAUUCGUAGUGUAGCGGUGAAAUGCGUAGAUAUUAGGAGGAACACCAGUGGCGAAGGCGGCUUACUGGACUGUAACUGACGUUGAGGCUCGAAAGCGUGGGGAGCAAACAGGAUUAGAUACCCCAGUAGUC
rnacentral:rRNA from 1 species